rnacentral:tRNA from 1 species
GUCCCCGUAGUUCAGUGGAUAGAACGCAACCUUGCGGAGGUUGAGGUCACAGGUUCAAAUCCUGUCGGGGACG